rnacentral:rRNA from 1 species
GACGAACGCUGGCGGCGUGCUUAACACAUGCAAGUCGAACGGAAAGGCCCUGCUUUUGUGGGGUGCUCGAGUGGCGAACGGGUGAGUAACACGUGAGUAACCUGCCCCUGUCUUUGGGAUAACUUCAGGAAACUGGGGCUAAUACCGGAUAGGAGCUCCUGCUGCACGGUGGGGGUUGGAAAGUUUCGGCGGUUGGGGAUGGACUCGCGGCUUAUCAGCUUGUUGGUGGGGUAGUGGCUUACCAAGGUUUUGACGGGUAGCCGGCCUGAGAGGGGGACCGGCCACAAUGGGACUGAGAUACGGCGCAGACUGCUACGGGAGGCAGCAGUGGGGAGUAUUGCACAAUGGGCGGAAGCCUGAUGCAGCAACGCCGCGUGCGGGAUGACGGCCUUCGGGUUGUAAACCGCUUUCGCCGGUGACGAAGCGUGAGUGACGGUAAUGGGUAAAGAAGCACCGGCUAACUACGUG